UUAUUAUUACAGCAAGUACAAGU
rnacentral:siRNA from 1 species